rnacentral:tRNA from 47 species
GGUUCCGUAGCUCAGUCGGUAGAGCAGAGGACUGAAAAUCCUCGUGUCGGUGGUUCGAUUCCGCCCGGAACCACCA